CCUACGGGUGGCAGCAGUGAGGAAUAUUGGUCAAUGGGCGCGAGCCUGAACCAGCCAAGUAGCGUGAAGGAUGACUGCCCUACGGGUUGUAAACUUCUUUUAUAAAGGAAUAAAGUGAGGCACGUGGGCCUUUUUGUAUGUACUUUAUGAAUAAGGAUCGGCUAACGCCGUGCCAGCAGCCGCGGUAAUACGGAGGAUCCGAGCGUUAUCCGGAUUUAUUGGGUGUAAAGGGAGCGUAGCUGGGUUGUUAAGUCAGUGGUGAAAGUUUGCGGCUCAACCGGCAAAUUGCAAUUGAUACUGGCAGUCUUGUGUACAGUUGCGGUCGGCGGACUUCGUGGUGUAGCGGU
rnacentral:rRNA from 1 species